rnacentral:rRNA from 1 species
AUGACGGCUGCGCUUGCCGGGCGGAGCCAUGAAGUACGGGGCCAAGUGCCCUUGCAGGACCUGCGCCAGGAUGGGGAGCAUCUCCAGCAACACAUGCAGCCCACUGCUGCUCCGGACCAGACUAUCCUGGCGGGUCAGGGGGCCCUGUGUACUAUGGCGAUGGUGGUGCCCAACCAAACCACAGAGCAUGGCCAUCUCCUAUUCCAGCCGGGAAUGCUUGAGGCACUAACCAGUGCUGUGGCUGCUAAAUUCGCUGCAGCAAAUGCCAAGGGAGAUUUUGGGGAGCCUGGCUCAUCUUUUAUUUUCAAUGCCACUAAAUCUGCUACGCAGGGACACAAGAAGGUGAAAGGGAAAAAGGCUAGAAAGGAAGGAGGUGUUGAUCGUUCGGUGGAGGACCGUGAGAAAAUGAUAGGCAAAAAGAGAAGACCUCUUUCCGAUGCGCGUCCGACGGGUAGCAAUCUAGUGUUUUCUUUUGAGAAAAAUAGCAUGGAUAGUCUUGAGCGCUUACUGUAUGAUGAUGUAAAUGUCUCAAGCAAGAGAGUUUGUACGGGUAGAGUAGAGACGGUAAAAGAUGUGGAUGGUGUUGUUAGCCACGUAGCGAAGGAGACGGAUGAGAAGGAAGAAGAGUACAUGCAGGAGAGAAGGGAGUCAGUUGGAGAUGAUGGCGCAUCGGCGGCCUCCGGUGAGGAGGUCCGCCGGGCCAAAUGA